rnacentral:rRNA from 1 species
UACGUAGGGGGCUAGCGUUGUCCGGAAUCAUUGGGCGUAAAGCGCGUGUAGGCGGCCCGAUAAGUCCGCUGUGAAAGUCCAGGGCUCAACCCUGGGAUGCCGGUGGAUACUGUCGGGCUCGAGUCCGGAAGAGGCGAGUGGAAUUCCUGGUGUAGCGGUGAAAUGCGCAGAUAUCAGGAGGAACACCAAUGGCGAAGGCAGCUCGCUGGGACGUGGCUGACGCUGAGACGCGAAAGCGUGGGGAGCAAACAGG